GAGUAAUGUCUGGGAAACUGCCUGAUGGAGGGGGAUAACUACUGGAAACGGUAGCUAAUACCGCAUAACGUCGCAGGACCAAAGAGGGGGACCUUCGGGCCUCCUGCCAUCAGAUGUGCCCAGAUGGGAUUAGCUAGUAGGUGGGGUAACGGCUCACCUAGGCGACGAUCCCUAGCUGGUCUGAGAGGAUGACCAGCCACACUGGAACUGAGACACGGUCCAGACUCCUACGGGAGGCAGCAUG
rnacentral:rRNA from 1 species